UUUACAAGAGAUGUUGAUGUCCUCCACCUCAUAAAAAUUGGAAUACUUUUUGUUGCAGCCACCCAACCCAUCAAUGCUUUGGCAUUUGUAUUUUUGCAGACUAUAAUCUAUCUCCUUACGUGAGAUGGUUAUUACAACCCUGGGUGAUCUGCAUGGGCUCUAUCCGGGGAUCAUUAUUGCAAAAUAAGGUUUUGAGGAUUAAGGAUAAGUCUACUGAUCAGGUUCAAACAUCCCUUUGAGAAAAUUUUGUACAAGUUGUAUGUAUUGCUAAAUAAUAAGUAGUGCCAACCCCACUUUGUCUGGAAGAAAUUGAAGAGAUAGAUAAAUGCCUAACUCGUACCUUAAUCAUGUUGGUGUUUGUUAAUUAGUUAAUUAUUAGACAUAUAUGGAAAAAUGCUAAGUAAAAAGACCUCAGCAAGAAAAACCAUUUUGAAACAUCGUCUGAAUAUAAAGAAGAAAAAAACUACUCCUCCUUCCAUGUAUCAUAAUGUUAGACAAGAGGACUGCUCUAACUUACAGUGAUUCUAAAAACGAAAAUGGUUGUUCAUAAUAUUUAACUUUGAGAUGUUUCCACUAGCAUACACGGGAACAAGUAGAAAGUUCUGAGGUGUUUCGAAUAUUUUAUUCCAUUUCAAAAUUAUAUUCCUUGAUAUGGUUAAGGGUUAUGGUUAUGUAUCUUAUGUAGUAUUGAUUUGACUAAUUAUUUUCCUAAGUAUAUUUAUAUGGAGGAUUUCAGGUAUAUAACACUUGGAUGGGUUUACCUGGUCACUGUUGGGCAUCAUAAUUGUCCUGUUUUUGUGCUGAAUUAUUUGGUCAGAGUGUCAUUGCUAAUUGGCUGAGAUGUCAUGGUGUCUCUUUCUGAUUGUGCAUUUUGGAUGAGAUGGCGUCUUCACAAAAUGUCGAGUUGGAGGCAGCCAACUUUCUGCACAAACUUACUCAGGAUUCUAAAGAUGAGCCAGCUAAGCUGGCUACUAAACUCCAUGUUAUAUUACAACAUAUGAAAUCCAGCGGGAAGGAACAUUCAAUGCCAUAUCAAGUGAUAUCAAGGGCUAAAUUUAUAUCUGCAGAAGAAAGAGUUGGUGUCACUUUUGAUGAUUUUCCUGGCCAGGAAUAUAUAAAGAGGGAAUUGUGAGAGAUUGUACAAAUUUUAAAGAAUGAUGAGGAGUUUCAAGACAAAGGAAUUUAUUGUCCAAAAGGUGUGCUUCUCGAUGGACCUCCAGGAACUGGUAAAACUCUACUGGCUAAAGCCAUCGCUGGGGAAGCAGGGUUGCCUUUUUUUGCGGCAAAUGGCACAGAUUUUGUAGAGAUGUUUGUAGGGGUUGCUGCAUCACGUGUUAAGGAUCUUUUUCUUCUGCCUUCGUCCGUAUUUAUUUAUAAGAGGUGCUUGUGAUAGGUGCUACAAAUAGAUUAGACAUUCUUGAUCCCGCUGUAUUGAGGAAGGGUCGUUUUGACAAGAUCAUUCGAGUUGGUUUGCCAUUUUGAAGGUGAUUUCCUCCUCCGACAAUUUAUGCAUAAUGAACCUUGCUUCAAGAAGUAUUUCAUUGUCUGUAUCCAUCUUUUUUCGUGUAUAAACUAGGUGCAUGCUAGGAAUAAAUUCUUUAAUUAUCGACGAAAAAUCCGGCGAAAAAUCUGUCUUUAAUUACCAACGAAAAAUCCGUCGAAAAAUUUGUCUCUAAUUACCGACGAAAAAUCCGUCGAAAAAUCUGUCUCUAGUUACAGACGGAAAAUCCGUCGGAAAGUUUGACGCUAGGGGAAAUGGAGGGGAAAAUUUACAGAGAAAAAAUCUGUCGGUAACUGGUAAAAAUCAAUCUGUCGGUAAAUAAUUUCCGACGAGGUUUUUACAGAGGGACAAAAUCUGUCGGUAAUUUCGUCGGUAAUUAAAAAUCCGUCUGUAAUAUAGACCAAAUCUGUCUGUAUUAAGCAAUUUUCUAGUUGUGCAAAGUUAAUUCUUUUAUGAUUAUGUCAAUGUAUAGCACUAUAAAAAAAAUGGUUAAGUAUGAUUUUGGUCCCUAAGAUAGGGGUUGAAAAUUUUUUUCGUCCCCAACCUUGUUUUGCUUACA